rfam:Myotis lucifugus cont2.23625, whole genome shotgun sequence.
CUACCUGCCCAGUCUCUCAGGAGGCCUGUGGGACACCCCACCCCCACCCUCCCCUUCUCGGCCUUCGCGAGUGUGGACGUCCCCGGGCACUGGCGAGUCCCUCCAG